rnacentral:rRNA from 1 species
UACAGAGGGGGCAAGCGUUGUUCGGAAUUACUGGGCGUAAAGGGCGCGUAGGCGGCCUUCUAAGUCGAACGUAAAAUCCCCGGGCUCAACCCGGGAACUGCGUCCGAUACUGGAAGGCUUGAAUCCGGGAGAGGGAUGUGGAAUUCCAGGUGUAGCGGUGAAAUGCGUAGAUAUCUGGAGGAACACCGGUGGCGAAGGCGACAUCCUGGACCGGUAUUGACGCUGAGGCGCGAAAGCCAGGGGAGCAAACGGG